rnacentral:rRNA from 1 species
UGGGGAAUAUUGGACAAUGGGGGGAACCCUGAUCCAGCCAUGCCGCGUGUGUGAAGAAGGCCUUAUGGUUGUAAAGCACUUUAAGCGAGGAGGAGGGUACUGGUAUUAAUACUACCAGGUACUGGACGUUACUCGCAGAAUAAGCACCGGCUAACUCUGUGCCAGCAGCCGCGGUAAUACAGAGGGUGCGAGCGUUAAUCGGAUUUACUGGGCGUACAGCGUGCGUAGGCGGCUAAUUGAGUCGGAUGUGAAAUCCCCGCGCUUAACUUGGGAAUUGCAUUCGAUACUGGUUAGCUAGAGUGUGGGAGAGGAUGGUAGAAUUCCAGGUGUAGCGGUGAAAUGCGUAGAGAUCUGGAGGAAUACCGAUGGCGAAGGCAGCCAUCUGGCCUAACACUGACGCUGAGGUACGAAAGCAUGGGGAGCAAACAGG